rnacentral:rRNA from 1 species
UACGGAAGGGGCAAGCGUUGUUCGGAAUCAUUGGGCGUAAAGGGCGCGUAGGUGGUUCUGUAUGUCUAUCGUGAAAGCAUACAGCUCAACUGUAUUUUGUCGGUAGAAACUGCAGGACUUGAGGCUGGGAGGGCUGGUGGAAUUCCCUGUGUAGCGGUGAAAUGCGUAGAGAUGGGGAGAACACUCGUGGCGAAGGCGGCCAGCUAGACCAGUUCUGACACUGAGGCGCGACAGCGUGGGGAGCAAACAGG